rnacentral:piRNA from 1 species
UAAAAUCAUAGUUCUCCAGUGGCCU